AUACGUAGGGGGCUAGCGUUAUCCGGAAUUACUGGGCGUAAAGGGUGCGUAGGUGGUUUCUUAAGUCAGAAGUGAAAGGCUACGGCUCAACCGUAGUAAGCUUUUGAAACUAAGAGACUUGAGUGCAGGAGAGGAGAGUAGAAUUCCUAGUGUAGCGGUGAAAUGCGUAGAUAUUAGGAGGACUACCAGUUGCGAAGGCGGCUCUCUGAGCUGUAACUGACACUGAGGCACGAAAGCGUGGGGAGCAAACAGGAUUAGAUACCCUGGUAGUCCACGCCGUAAACGAUGAGUACUAGCUGUCGGGGGUUACCCCCCUCGGUGGCGCAGCUAACGCAUUAAGUACUCCGCCUGGGAAGUACGCUCGCACGAGUGAAACUCAAAGGAAGUGACGGGG
rnacentral:rRNA from 1 species